GACAACCCCAUUCUCCCCCUAUGUUAUGCAGGCACCCAGGGCUUCUCUGCCUACCUACCCUCUCCCCAAUGCCCAUGGGUCCUUCACCUGCUUCCCCGAAGUUGUGUUUGCCAGGUCGAGAUUUUAAAAACACACUCGCUGAGCGCCCCCCCUCCCGCCUUUAAUUAGACUCUGAACAGAGUGUUAGAGAUUUUUCUUAAUGGUUUGACGAAGGCUUUUAAUUUGGUCUUCUCAAGAGAGAGAAACCAUGAGUCCCCAUCCAAGAGGUUGGGGUGGGAAAUGAAAAAAUCAAUGCAACCCAUUAUUUUGGCUUUUAGAAAACAGGAAUUUUAGUGCCGGGGAAGCUUGUUCUUUUGCACAGUAAAAAUGCAAAUGCAGGCAACACAGAUGCUGGCACGCUGGAUGGAACAACAGAGAGCGCCUCACUGGGGUUCAUCUGGCUGCCCAAACCUGGAUGCGUUUGGCAAUAAUAAGAUGGACGUACAAAUUAUUGCAAGAGGAUAUUGUUUUCUGUAACAGGCUCGAACAUUCACAUUUACAUUUUCCUUGGUGCCGCGGGGGUGACUGGCAACGGGAGAGAAAAAUACACCAAACCCCAUCUUCGUUGCUCUCACCUCCUCAACAUCUCCCCCAGCCGCCUCCGCCACCCCCACCACCUUGCCACCCCAAGCAGAACAAGCCCCCGGGACCAGCCUGGCACCUAAGAUCCAAUUAAGGCACGAAGGAAAAGAAAGGCCUGUCUGGCAAGUCGCCCUGGCGCC